AAUGGGCGCAAGCCUGAUCCAGCCAUCCCGCGUGAAGGAUUAAGGCCCUCUGGGUUGUAAACUUCUUUUCUCUGGGAAUAAAAAGUGGGAUUUAUCCUGCCUUGAAGGUACCAGAGGAAUAAGCACCGGCUAACUCCGUGCCAGCAGCCGCGGUAAUACGGAGGGUGCAAGCGUUAUCCGGAUUCACUGGGUUUAAAGGGUGCGUAGGUGGUUUUGUAAGUCAGUGGUGAAAGCCCGGAGCUUAACUCCGGAACUGCCAUUGAUACUGCUUAACUUGAAUCAACUUGAGGUGGAUGGAAUAAUACAUGUAGCGGUGAAAUGCUUAGAUAUGUAUUAGAACACCGAUUGCGAAGGCAGUUCACUAAGGUUGUAUUGACACUGAGGCACGAAAGCGUGGGGAUCAAA
rnacentral:rRNA from 1 species